UAAAAGUUAACUCAGAUUUGGAACGCUUACCUACGUUUGCCGCUAGGGGCGCUGUUCCAGCUGCAUACAAAUUUGAGUUA
rnacentral:pre_miRNA from 1 species